ACUCUGAACCUCUUUAAAAAAAAAAAGCAUCUCCAUUUUUGAACUUCUCACAACAAUAGAAGAAUGUCAAGCAAGCAAAGAUUUGCAGUAUUGUCGAGUGUUUUGAAUUGAUGUCAUCUUACAAUUAAGUAACCUACCAUUAUUUGGCUAGCACCUAACACACGUUACGUUUUGCUUACUUAUUAUGCAUUGUCUUGCUCUACGGAGAAGAUUUCAAAUUCAGUACCGAUGAAAUUCAGAAUAGGCCCUUGCUGAAUUUAGGGGCUCUGUACGUCUGCGUGCUGUAGAUUUUCCUUGUAAAUUAUUGGCUGUGCCUGCCAAACUGUUUAGAUACUUUGAAUUCUAAGGCGAUUUUUGGGAGGGCACCAUUUGGUUCCCUUACAGCUGAUGUCUGGGGCUCCAUGUGUUUCAGCUGUGGUGCUGGUCCCGACAGGCUGACAGAAUGCUUGCUAAGUGGAUAUCUAAACAGAUGUCUAAGCACAGAUGCCUUCUCUGCACCGGAGCAACAGAAGACCUGCAUUUUUUGGAACCCACUACACUGUUUAUAUUGUGAUGUAAGAUUUGGAAGCUGUUUUACUUUUUCUUUUAACAUGGCUGAAAAAGGAUUCUGCUUCAAAAAUUAUUACACUGGAAAUAGCAUUCGAUUCCAAACCCCAUGCCAUAGAGCUGUCCCUAUAGCACUGGUCCCAGGCAUCGUGGCAGGGGUGUGGGGUGGUCAAAACGGGCGAAGGGGGGUCAAAAGGUACAAACUUCCAGUUACAAGAUAAAUAAGUGCUUGGGAUGUCAUGCACAGCAUGGUGACUAUACUUAACAAUACCAUGUUGGAUAUUUGGAAGUUGCUGAGAGAACAGAUCUUAAAAGUUCUCAUCACAACAACAAGAAAUGUGUAACUACGUGUGGUGAUGGUCAUUAACUAGACUUAUUGUGUGAUGAUUUUGCAAUAUAUACAAACAAUGAAUCAUUACGUUGUACACUUGAAACUGAUACAAUGUUAUAUGUCAAUUACAUCUCAAUUUUGAAAGCCCUAAAACUAAGAUCAGGGAAUAGAUGUGUUGAUUCUUAAUGCAGUGCUUUUCCUAUCAUCUCGUUCUGGUCUUUUCACACAUAGUUUUUAUCUUUCCCAUCAGUCCAAACAGUUUCUAAACACCAUUUUUGUAUCAACUUGAUCGGACUAUUUAAAGUUAUUCUCUGUGUUUUCACUGAAAUCAGAUUCAGAGAACAGAGUUCUUGUGAUCAGUUUUUUGCCAAAUGCUCUCCCCGCGACUGUCACUGGGUUCUUCAAGCUACUGCUGUCAGCUUCUUCCUGUGUAGACAUCACACAGAAAACGUCUCCAAAGAAAGGAAUUCUAAUGACAAAGAAAAGAAGGGGACAGAAGACAACUCAUACAAUUUAAAUAGGAUGUCAGGCUUGAUUAAACAUCAAAACAUCUCAUAAACCCGUGUCCUGCUAUGCUGAAGAGGCAGCCUCUUGGUUUUCCUUGACUAGUUACAAUCUCCACGUUCGAAUCCUUCUCCGGCAGGAGCAAAUACGGCAGGUCAUGACCUGAGAGACACGCUUGUUGAAGGGUCAAAGCGAGAGCACGCCUUUAGUAAGCAGGAAAUACGCUAGACUAUAUUGGUAUAUAUGAUUUCUAUAAGUUGUUUGUGAACUGAUUUGCACUUAAUAGAAAUUCAAGAGCUUCUGCUGCUGAAGAAGCUUGUGACAAAUCUUUUCUAAGUGAAAAAAAAAAGCAGCUGAAGUACAAAUAUAAAAAUAUCCAUAACGCCUCUCUGUCAAAGGCAGAUAGUUGGCUGCUGAUGUAAAACCAAGUAAUAGGCUUGUGGCCUCGCUUUUUGCCUUGAAAUGGACCACCCACUUUACUUGGAAAGAUCUAAUGAACAUCCAUUUCCAUGGCCCUAAACAAUGCAAGGCAUUGAAAAUAGGCAGUGGUACUCACUUGCAGACUCUAGAAGAAACCAAGGUGACCUUUGUGAGAAUCAGGGAGCUCUUCUGAAGGGUAUUUAAUGAACUGUGCAAACUCAAACAUUUCAGCAUGUUCUCUCCAGAGAUGGGCAUCUGGGCAGACAUUCAGAGCGUCAGAUGCCUGAGACUUCUGGGUCCACGGGCGACAACCAGAGGAGGGUGAACAAGGGGUGCAUGUGUUUGGUUUCUUAGAUGGGGCUGAAGUAAAUCCUUUGAUGUUGCUCCCCUCCCACUUUUCAGCUAUAGAAUGAGAUAAUGUAUUUAGAAAAAUGAUUGAUUGAAAUAAACAGUCUCUUAAUGUUCCUGGGCAGGAAUAGCCAGUUUUUCACCUGCAAAGCAGGUAGAAGUGGCUGAUGUGUCUGUGAAUGAGAGUGUGGCAGGCUACUUUGUGACGAUAAUGUGCUCUUGCUCAGGUGCACUGGUUAAAGAAAACUGGAAAUUGCUGGGAACAAAAGAGAAUAUCGUUGAUUAAUAGUUUUUGAUUGUGACUAUACAUUAAACUACCUGGGGAAAUAAAAGAAAACCAACAUUGUCCAGGUUCCAUUUCGAAUCAUUUACAUCAGUAACAAUGGGAGUGGGGACUUGGUAUUUUUUAAAAACCUCCUACAUGAUUCAAAUGUGUAACUAAGGUUCUGAGUAAUUUGUUUAACCCUUUACAGGUGGGUCCUAAUGACCAGCUGCCCCAUCACCGAUUCCUGCCCCCAGAAUGAUUACACCUGCCUUUCUUGCUCCACUCCAGCUGCUUUGGACUGAGCCUCUGGUCCCCCCAUGCCCCUUCCUCUCCACAUGGCCACCAAAGUGGUCUUACCUCAAAAUGAAUCUGACCCUGUCAUUCCCUAGCCAAAAACCCACUAGCUCUCCAGCAUGCGUCUGAUAUCAGAUGAAGUUCAAACUCCUCCACUUGGCAUUCAAAAUCCUUCCUAAUCAUUCCGCUGUCUUCUUCACCAUCCUCAGCCUCUACCGCAGCAGGCAGAUUCAUUGUUCUCUCCAGGAUAUGGUUGUUAGAUGAAAUACAGGACACCCAGCUGAAUCUG
rnacentral:lncRNA from 1 species